rnacentral:lncRNA from 1 species
CAUCGGGCGGUCGUCGAAAGAUGCAAGAAGUGUGCGGACCACCGGCCCCGGGCCCUCUCAACCUUUAUGCGAGUACCUACAUACAUACAUACAUAACUGUGCACCCGUACCGGCACCGUCUACUAUCUACUGUCGUCAAUUAGGAUGCAGUAUGGAUCGCAGACACAUCUCAUCGUCCAGUUUUCCAGUUUCCACCAGCCAUACCACCAGCUAUGACCAGGCACCAGACGCCAGCGGCGCC